UUCAUUCCACAGCUGUUGUCAACCAAACCUUCCCGAUCUAUAUAAAGGUUGGUUUGGCCUCACACAUAUUAGCCAAGCAAGUAAACCAGCUCGACCUAUAUACAGCUACUUGUCUUGUGUAUUGACUGACAAAUUGUAGUUAACAUGGCACGUCAGGCAGACCGUCUUGCUAAGAUUGGGCUGGAGGGCUUUGCAGCCAGAGAUGAGCACUUCGGCCGGGCCAAGAGGCGGCCACCAGUGCUGAAGGUUCCCUAUGCUCAUCCGACAUAUUACUAUGCAAACCAAAUUCCUGCAACAGAAGUUAUCGACACCAACGAGGCAGCUCAACGCUACAAGGGGAGGGUUUAUCUCGAUUAUCCUAAGGGGAAACCAGUUCCGUUUUAAAGACCUAGUGAUUAAUCACUUAGCUUUCUUGUAUGCAUAACCUCCUCCAGUUGUGUUACCUUUAGUCCUGUACGAUAUUCUCCCUCUGCUAAACGUAUACGAGGAGAGGUUGCUAGAACUCGAGUCAGGAGCUUCUUGUUACUUCUUCAAAUAAACUUUCUGUGAUUUAUAUAUCAUUUUCUAUUUGUAUGUAUUGUCAUAAUUAUCACCUCUUACUUAGCAUGGAAUUGAAAGAUACAAUAUGCUCUUGAAAUGCUUUGAAGCUCUUCAAGGUGUGAUUUCACCGACUAAGUUGGAACUGUACAGAGCUCAAUGAUGAGCCGUAGGAGGCGUCUCUGAUUGUUGCACUGUAAGCAUGAGUGUACGUAUGAAUAUAACCAGCAGAUCCGCAAAGCACAAGUGAUGACAAGCUUCUUAACACGGCUACAUUUAACAGUUUUACCAACGAAAUUUUUUGUCGGUAUUUACUCUACCAUUCCGUCAGCAUGAAUUUUACCGACUGAUUUACGGACGGAAACAGUCGGUCGAUAAAUUCCUCUUGUCAGUAAUUUUAUUAAUGUCGGUAAAAAAAAACCGAUGGUUUUACAGACAGAAAAUGCAAGCCAAUUUUUUUUCCACUGGAAUAUAAAGACAGAAUUAUUUCUUCGGUGAUUGACAGUGGCAUAUGGAGUAAUUUUAUUCCAAACCCUCUAUAAAAUACCGAAGGAAUUAUUCCAUCGGUGAUGUAACAGUUGAAAUGGCAUAUGCAGUAAUUAUUUUUCAACUCUCUGGAAUAUAACGACCAACAAAGUUUGUCGGUAACUCUGUCCGUAAUAAUUAAAAAAUAUAUUUUAUACAAAAUUGUAUAAAAUUCAAGUAUGUGAAAAUAAAUUACCUAUGCUCAUCCGACAUAUUACUAUGCAAACCAAAUUCCUGCAACAGAAGUUAUCGACAGCAACGAGGCAGCUCAACGCUACAAGGGGAGGGUUUAUCUCGAUUAUCCUAAGGGGAAACCAGUUCCGUUUUAAAGACCUAGUGAUUAAUCACUUAGCUUUCUUGUAUGCAUAACCUCCUCUAGUUGUGUUACCUUUAGUCCUGUACGAUAUUCUCCCUCUGCUAAACGUAGACGAGGAGAGGUUGCUAGAACUCGAGUCCGGAGCUUCUUCUUGCUUCAUCAAAUAAAAUUUCUGUGAUUUAUAUAUUAUAAUUUUCUAUUUGGCUGGUCAAGUAUGCAUUGUCAUAAAUAUCACUCUGCUUCCCUGAUUAUUACCUUAUUCACCUAUUACUUAGCAUGAAAUAUUGAAAGAUUAAUGCAGUCGGAAGCACAACAAUAUAGCUGCAAGCAUAGAAAGACAAAAGAUAAACUGAAAUAAUGUUAAAACACUGAGAAUCCUAAAACCUUAUUUCUAAAUUAUUAAUUUGAUUAAGUUUACCUUCUAAAGAGGUUUACAAUCUCUUUCAUAGACUAGAAAAAUAGGCCAAGAUUCGAAACAAAAUCAGAAUCCCAAAACAUAACGGAAAAUAACAUAAAAUUUAAAAAUAAACAAUAAAUCUGCGAAAAUUAAGGAAAAAUAACAAAAUUAUCCCAAAUAAUAACUAAUUAGCCUACUUUAUGGAGAUACAAUGCUCUGAUAACUAUUGAGUUGUUUUUAAUGGGAAAACGGUUUGUAGAAUCUUCUAUAAAAAUUUAAACCUGAUUUAACGGUUAGAAUAUCUCCUGUUAUCAUUAUUUUAGGCUAUUAUUCUGGUCUUGCGUGAUGAUGCUUUCUCUUGGCCUAAACAUCUUUCACUAGUACAUGAACAUAUCUGUUAGUAGUCCGUUUAGGGCAAACAAAUAAUUAAUUUGCUGUUCAAAUGCUUUGAAGCUCUUCAAGGUGUGAUUUCACUGAAUAAUUUCGAGUUUAGAAUUAUCACCUCAUUUUAGAAUUGUCCCGAGCACAAGGAUAAAAUGAUGAGCCAUGGGAAGCGUCUCCGAUAAAGAAAUAAUAAACGGAGUUCAAGGUAAAACAAUAGCUUAGAAAAAAAAAAGUAGAAAUUUACACGAUAUCUAAGAAUAUCAGCGAUCAUGACCAUGAUUGGAUCAUUUCUGAGUUCUACAACCAAAAUUUCCUUCACAUCUCUUUAACUAAGCUGAUAGUCGAUGAAGAUUUAAGGAAAAACAUGAUUCCCAAUCCGAGCCAUAUGAGCAAGUGUAUCUAGUAAAAAUAUCUUAUCUCCCAUGAAAAUCAUAUUAGUAAGCCUCCCUCUGAAGCAUUGCUUUACACAUAUCUUUUACAGAAAAAAGAGAAAAAUGGGAAAUGCUCCGAGUUAUACCUUUUCUUGAUCUUUCCCAAUCCUUCAUUAUAAAUGGGACCCAUCAAAAACAUGAGAUGUGCUUUAACUUCCUCCAUAUUUCAUCUUAGCCUAGAAGGAUAAACAAGAAUAUUAUUGCUUCUGAAACAUAACGAUUGCAAGCAUCGCCUUUCGGUGAACUUUAGAUGACAUGAAACUGCCACAAAUUGGGUCCUAUCCGAGAGAGUUUUCUUUUUCUGCUCUGUUAUCACACAUAUACAACUGAAAUCUUUAAGUCCUCUUUAGGGUAUCCCUGAAAGAAAAUGAUCUAUCAUGCAUGGAAAGUCCUGAGGAAUCUGAGGCAUCACUACAUGAAAUUCAACCAACGGAAUUGCCGACAAACUGUUUCUUUCGGUAUUUUGCGGUGAUAUUUACCGACCGAAUUACUUCCCUUGCUAAAACCGUCGGUAUAUAUCGAGUGAAUCCCAGAUAGAAUAUAAAGAAUUUUAAAAAACAAAGCAGUGCAAUGACGUGGAAGUUUUGGUGGAUGAUGUUACUGAUGGAAUUACAGAGUGAUUCAAACUGGGAUGUUCGUACAGUGACGUGUUUACUUCACCGACAGAAUGGCCGAUGGAUUUACAAACAAAAAUAUUAUGUCGGUAAUUCCAUCGAUAAUAGUUAAUAUAUUGAAUGUUUUUUUAGUGUUUACUUGUUUUAUUACUUUUCUCAAACAAACAUGUAGUAUGGAUUUAUAAUUUUGUACUUGGUAUGGUUUGUUUUAGAUUUUGUAAAAUUAUAUUUGUUUGUAAAUUGUUGAAAUUUAUGUCGAAUUACCGACUUAGGUGUGUUGUGAUGAAAUAAAUAAUGACUUGUUUGAUGGGUCCGUUUUAAUUUUUGUCAAUUUUAUUGCCGAGUUGUAAUUUCUGUAAAUUAAUGUGUCUAAAUUUGUAUGGACGUAGAUAAUUGAUAAUGAAUAUUUAAGAGAAGUUUGAAAGUAAGUUGGAAAUCUUGAGCUAAACCAAUAUUUUUGCAAAUUUAUUUGCUUGACGUAGUUAAUUAAUACAUGUUGUCAUCAUUAUUUUAUAGAGGUUUGAUAGAAGUCAUGGAUGAUCAUUCAUGGAUGUAUCGAGAUUCACCUUAAGAAUUGCGGAGGAUGGAUUAUUAUAAUAGGGUUCAGAGUUUUAUUAAUUUCGCAACAUCUAUUUCGAGAAAUUUUAGUGGAGACGGUAUUAAGUGUCCAUACAGGAGGUGUAAAAAUAAAAAGUUUUUGCAUCCAGAUGUUGUAACGAUGUAUCUUCUACACAAAGGGUUCAUGGAGGAUUACUUGUGUUGGUAUGCACACAAAGAAUUAUUUGUUCGUAACAAGAGCAUGGUAGAAAGGAUGGUUGGGUCAACUUCUAGUGCUAGCAAUGUGCAUGGAGUUGUAAAUGACAAUAGUAAUCCUUACAGGAAUAUGGUUAUGGAUUCAAUGAGAAUGAAUCAAGAUAAUGCUAGUCAAUGUCCAAUUGUAGAAGAAGAUGCUAGUCAAUGUCCAAUUGUAGAAGAAGAACCUAAUGCAGACGCGGCCAGGUUUUUUGAUUUGUUGAAAGAUUCUGAUGAACCAUUAUGGGAUGGCUGCACAAAUCACUGUAAAUAAUCAGUUGUUGCAUAUGUGUUCACUAUCAAGUCAGAUUAUGGGUUGAGUGAGGCCGGUUAUGACAAAAUUAUCGAAUGGGCGAGAAGCAUUCUACUUGAAGGGAACAAGCUGAAAGAGAACUUCUAUGCUACUAAGUCCAUGAUGAAACCCCUCGGUUUAGGAUACUAGAAAAUUGACAUGUGUCCAAACUUUUGCAUGAUGUACUACCUUGAAAAUGCUGAGCUAACCGAGUGCAUGGCAUGAGAGCAUUCCCGUUACAAAUCCAGAACUGGCAUGGGAAAGACUCUUAUGGCAUAUAAAAAACUUAGAUACUUCCCAAUCACGCCUAGACUGUAGAGGUUAUUCAUGUCACCAAAGACUACUGAGCACAUGAUAUAGCACCAAUCACUUGAUGCAGUGGAUGGAGUGAUAGUGCAUCCUUCUGACGGUGAAGCAUGGAAACACUUUAACAGUGUGCAUUCUCAUUUUUCAGCUGAAUCAAGGAACGUGCAUCUUGGGUUAUGUACAGAUGAAUUCAACCCAUUCAGGUCAUUUGUUGAUCCUUAUUCUUGUUGGCCGAUUAUACUCACGGUUUACAACUUACCACUCUUAUGGCAACAGUUGCUCCUUCUUCACAAUACUUAUGGAACAAAGACUUGUUAAGUGCUUGACUAACGGACUGUUUUUCUCAAAGCUUUUAGUUUGGUUGACCUGAAACUUUGUUUUCGUAGCAAUCCCCAUCAACGGAAACUACGAUCAAACUGUGUACAAUUUGGUUAUCUUGAAAUCGCAAUCUAGUGAUUUGCUUAAUCCAAAACCAAAAUCAAUGCCAAAGUUCGGUCAACCUGAGAUCCCAAUUUGGCGAUCCGCUUUAACUAGAACUAAAAUAUGAAAAGUAGCUCGGUAACCUGAAAUCCCAAUCUGGCGAUUCACUUUAACCAGAACCUUGGUCUUUGUCGUUAAGUUGGUCAACCUAAAAUCCCAAUACGACGAUUCUCUUUAAUAAGAACCAAAAUGUCGCCUUUAGCUUAGUUAAUCUGAAAUCUCAAUCUAGAGACCCCCUUUAACCAAAACCUUGGUCUUUAUCCUUAGCUCGGUCAACCUGAGAUCCCAAUCUAGUGAUUUCCUUUAACCAAAACCAAAAUGUCACCUUAAGCUUGGUUAACCUGAAAUCUCAAUCUACAGAUCCCCUUUAAUCAGAACCUUGAUCUUUGUCUUUAGCUCAGUCAACUUGAGAUCCUAAUCUAGCUAUUCCCUUUAAUUAGAACAAAAAUGUCACCUUCAGCAUGGUUAACCUGAAAUCUCAAUCUAGAGACCCCCUUUAACCAGAACCUUGGUCUUUGUCUUCAGUUCGGCAAACCUAAAAUCCCAAUCUGAUGAUUCGUUUUAACCAGAACCAAAAUGUUGCCUUAAGCUUGGUUAACCUAAAAUCUCAAUAUAGAGACCCCCUUUAACUAAAACCUUGGUCUUUGUCUUUAGCUCAUUCAACCUGAGAUCCCAAUCCGACAAUCCUAUUUAACUAGAACCAAAAUGUUUCUUUCAGUUUGGUUAACCUGAAAUCUCAAUCGAGUGACUCCCUUUAAUCAAGCGAUUCCCUUUAACUAAAACCAAAAUGUUGCCUUCAACUCGGUUAACCUAAAAUCUCAAUUUAGAGACCCCUCUUUAACUAGAACCUUAGUCUUUUUUUUUUAGCUCGGUCAACUUGAGAUCCCAAUCUUAUGAUCCCAUUUAACAAGAACCAAAAUAUUGCCUUCAACUCGGUUAACCUAAAAUCUCAAUUUAGGGAACUCUCUUUAACUAGAACCUUAGUCUUUUUCUUUAGCUCGGUCAACUUGAGAUUCCAAUCCUACGAAUCUUGAAACAUCAUCCCCUUCUUAGUCCUACUUUGAUUUGCCAAAAAAAUGGAAAAGAAUGAAUGAUAUGGUGGAGAACUAGACCGGUCUUUACCAUUGGCUAGAACCAACCAUAGGCUGCUUAGAAAGCAACCUUCAACACCUAAAAACAAACCACCACAUAACAACCCUGCAAUUAUCAACAACAACAUCUAGUUCUAGCUACCUAGUCUAUGUCAAAGAAUAGAAUCUGAGGCAACUUUUUGACCAAAAUUCCAUUCUCUAUUAUUCCUUCAAUAUUGGGGUUUAAUGCAAGCAACUUGUUUAUUCGGAUUUGAGAUGUAAAUAGAUUUUAAUUUUGUUAGGAUGAGGUGGUCAGGUUGCGUCACAUUGAUUAUGUCAUGAAGUUAACUAGAGUAAGAAAUAAAGAUAUCAAGUUUCGGAGAGAAUCAAGAUCAGUUAAAGCAAAAAAAAAAAAAAACAGAUUAUGAAAAUAAAUUGGAAACGAAAAGUUUAGUUAUAAGGAAUUAGAUUCACAAACAAAUUUAAGUCUCAUCAAUUCUAGGAAACAAGUUGGAAGGAAUCAAUUUUACAAAAAUUGACCUUCGCACUAGAGAGAACCUUCGAGCCACUUCAAAUGUACUGAAGGCCAUUUGUUUGCCAUAUGUGCUAAUUAAGAACAUAAUUCUAUUCUUUUGUGAGUUAAUAUUCUGUAAAAUAAGCUUGGAAUAGCUUGCGGGGGCUUGGCUCAGAGAUCAUUGAGUUUUUACUACAAAUUGCCUUUUAAUUUUUUUCCACCUGUAAUUGGAUUCGAUAAGUUUCCCUUUUGUUUACAUAUGAAGAACAAACAUUGCUUGAGGUUAUCCAAUGCCGAGAUCAAGGUCAGAUAAUACUAGCGAACCCCUAAUCAGGAUUAAGAAGCAAAAAAAAUGUUAAGUGCAGCUUAUCCAAUGCCGAGACCAAGGUCAGAUAAUAUCCUGAUUGUGCUUAUUGCCAUUAAUUAGAAACUGCAAUAUCGUCACAUAAUUAAACUGAGAUUAUUCUGAUUAGAGAACAGAAGGAAUCUUCUUUCAUAAUUGGCUUUUGCGAAGGUUUAGUGUUUUUGCUGCUACUGCUUUUGGACCUGACUUGAUUCCUGAUCGGUCGAAAAAGCAUUAGUCCAAAAGCAGGGAAGCUUUUGUUUUCUUUAAUCACAUGAUCAGAUAUUAUAAUUUAUGCCCAACACAAAUUCAUAAAAGUGGCUCUAAGAUUGGCUGACAACAGUUGUUAAUGAGCAGUGUUUGCAUCCCUUAUUUUUCAGUUUACUAAGUAUUUAGAACAUUCAAUUCCAAUCCAAAGUCGAUAAUAAUAAACUCUUGGUAAUGGUUUUGUCAUCGAUGGUGAUCGGACGACAAAAAAACCAGUAAAAUUGUUUUAUAUAAAAAGUUUAUUAAGUAUUGAAAACAUCCAAAUCUAACAUGUUUUACUUUUUUGUGUUUAAAUAUGAUAUUAAUAAACUUUUGGUGAUAUUUUUUUUUUCAUUUUGUGAUGCUUUUAUCGUCAGUAGUGAUAAGAUGAAGAAAAGCUAUUGAUUUUUCUCUCAGCAAUGGUUUGUUUUAUCGUACACAAAUGUUGGGUGCUUUUAUUUACAAAAAGGAGUACUGUCUACCAUUAUUCAUUCCACAGCUGUUGUCAACCAAACCUUUCCUUUCUAUAUAAAGGUGGCUUGGCCUCCUACAUAUUAGCCAAAGCAAGAAAACCAACAAAACCUAUAAACAGCUACUUGUCUUUGUGUGUUGAUUAAUUGUAGUUAACAUGGCACGUCAGGCAGAUCGUCUUGUUAAGAUUGGGCAGGAGGGUUUUGCAACCAUUGAUGAGCACUUCGGCCGGGCCAAGAGGCGGCCACCAGUUAUGAAGGUUCCCUAUGCUCAUCCCACAUAUUACUAUGCAACAGAAGUUAUCGACAGCAACGAGGCAGCUCAACGCUACAAGGGGAGGGUUUAUGUCGAUUACCCUAAGGGUAAACCAGUUCCGUUUUAAAGACCUAUUGAUUAAUCACUUAGCUUUCUUGUAUGCAUAACCUCCUCCAGUUGUGUUACCUUUAGUCCUGUACGAUAUUCUCCCUCUGCUAAACGUAGACGAGGAGAGGUUGCUAGAACUCGAGUCAGGAGCUUCUUCUUACUUCUUCAAAUAAACUUUCUGUGAUUUAUAUAUCAUUUUCUAUUUGUAUGUAUUGUCAUAAUUAUCUUUCUUACUUCCUCAUUAUCACCUCUUACUUAGCAUGGAAUUGAAAGAUACAAUAUGCUCUUGAAAUGCUUUGAAGCUCUUCAAGGUGUGAUUUCACCGACUAAGUUUGGAACUGUACAGAGCUCAAUGAUGAGCCGUGGGAGGCGUCUCUGAUUGUUGCACUGUAAGCAUGAGUGUACGUAUGAAUAUAACCAGCAGAUCCGCAAACCACAAGUGAUGACAAGCUUCUUAACACUGCUGCAUUUAACAGUUUUACCAACAAAAUGUUUUGUCGGUAUUUACUCUACCAUUCCGUCAGCAUGAAUUUUACCGACUGAUUUACGGACGGAAACAGUCCAUUGGUAAAUUCCUCUUGUCAGUAAUUUCAUUAAUGUCGGUACAAAAAAACCCGAUGGUUUUACAGAUAGAAAAUGCAAGCCAAUUGUUUUUCCACUGGAAUAUACAGACGGAAUUAUUUCUUCGGUGAUUGACAGUGGCAUAUGGAGUAAUUUUAUUCCAAACCCUCUAUAAAAUACCGAAGGAAUUAUUCCAUCGGUGAUGUAACAGUUGAAAUGGCAUAUGCAGUAAUUAUUUUUCAACUCUCUGGAAUAUAACGACCAACAAAGUUUGUCGGUAACUUCGUCCGUAAUAAUUAAAAAAUAUAUAUAUUUUUAAAAAUUAUUUAUUGAACAAAAAAAGAAAAUAAUAAAAAAUAUAAAAUUGUAUAAAAUUCAAGUAUGUAAAAAUAAAUUACCUUAGUAUAAAAGCCAAAUAUUCAUUACAAAUUUAUAUGUUCAAAUAAAAUUAAACUAGAAAAAUGGCGGCGUUGGAGGAGGCUGAUCGUUCCCGGGACCAUAUGGCCAAAAAGAGUGUCGCACGUGACCCGCGCGGCGUCCGAUGGUGAUUUUUUCGUUAUGCGUUUGCUUGAUUGGUUCGUUGGGAGUCGCCACCUAGUAUUUAAUUGAGGGCAACUAGGAAACCCGGGUGUACUGGUCUUGUCAGAGAUUCACGGGUAAGGGACUGGUUGUGGUUAGGGAAGGUAUUUGCACCCCUAACGCACCCUACCUGAGGUAAGCUGCUUCGUGGCUUUGAUGUGAUAAAGAAGUUUUAAAAAUUUUGUUCUUUCAUCGGGUAUUAGAAAUACGACUUACAUGUAAGUUCAUAAUUCUUGACCGUGAUCAAAUCAAAAUAUUAAAUUCUUCUUUAUUCUUUGCAAUUUUAUCAUAAAAAAAAUACAUUUAUAAAAAAAAAACUACAAACAAACACAUUCACUUUCACUAUAUUUUUUCUUUUCUUUUUCUUUUUUUUCUUUUUCACAUCUAUAUUACAAAAAUUCAAAACUAAACAAAAAUUACAUUAAAUAAUUUGAAAUUACAAAAAUAGCCCAAAAACAAGUCCAUAACAGUGCUGGGAAGCUUUCUGGAACUGCAUGCAGUGUUGAAGAAGGUUCCUGAACAGUUGAACAGUGCGUCGCCACGAGAAAUUCCAGGCAGCAGGGGGCGCUGCUGCGGCUUCCUCCCCUCUUCACUUCCCUGCCGGCGGUUAGGGUCUUCAUCACCUGCAAAAGAAUAAAACACCCAAACCAGUUGAUUUUAAUUUUUCUUUCUUUUUCGGAUCUGUUUCGGUCUUCUCCUUUUCAGAUCUACUUCACCGCAGAUCUUUCUUUGGUUUACAUCUUCUUCUCCUUCGCUUCAGGUGGCCGGUAGUUGGGCGGCGACGGCGCUGGAUUCAGGUUGUUGCUUUGGCCGCUGCAAUUGGUGGCUGAAGGAAAUGGCGUGGAUCUGUGGGCUGCCGUGUGCUGGCUGCUGUGGCUGACGGUGUGGGCGGCGCUGAUGGGAGGAGGAAAUGAAGGAAAAAGUCGGGGGGAAAAGGGAGGCAAAUCUGUUCUGGGGUUGCAGGUCUGCAGCAAUAGUGGAAGGAAAUGGGGGAGAUCGGCUGGCUGGGGGGCUGGUCUCUUUCGGCCGGUUCUGAUUUGCUUUUGGAUGAGGGGCGUGAGUGGUGGCUUCUGUUGAUAAGGGGAAAGGAAGGCUUGUGCGGGGAAGAUGAAGAUGACCGGGAGGGGAGCGGCCAAGGAAGAAGAAAAAAAUCAAAAACCAGCGGGGGGCGGUGUCUGCUCUUUUGUUUUGCCAAGUGGGGAGCGCUGCUGUUUGGGUAAAGAUAGGUUUAGGUUUAGGGUUAGGGUUUCUUGUAUCUCUCAAUGUGUAAAAUUACCCCCCUUCUCCUUUUGUGUGUUGUGGAGACCAGUAUUUAUAGGUAAAAAUAUUGUUUGGGUUUUUUUUUUUGUAAAUUUGAUUUUUCUUGUUUUUUUUGGAUUUUCUUAUCAACAUCGCCUCGAAUGAGGAAAAUCAGUGAUUUUAAAAAUAACGCGUUAAAAGUCAAACGCGUUCCAAAGAUCUUUGAAAAUUUAAAUUCUUUUGAGACGAUGUUGAAAAUGCUAAAAACGAUGCAAAUAUAUUAAAAAAACAUAUUUUUUUGGAUUUUCGAUGUUUUCGCUAUUUUUGGAUUUUUCUGAAAAUUUAUCAAAAACAUGGGUCAAAAAUUGGGUAGCAACAAAGAGGACGCACAUGUACCACCCAUCUGUGAUCUUAUAUCCAUCGCCAUUCUACGGAGUUCAUAAUAAUCUGCAUAGAGUCGUUCAUAUUCUUCAAUGAGAUAGGUCGUAUGUUGUUGUAAGGUCACGAACUCCUGAGACUGGGUGGUCAAUAUCGAUUGCAAGCUCCCAACGGUUGAGACACUACGGGCCAUCUACAAGUUGGUCGUGGUGUUGGAGAGUUUGCACACCUGAUUUCUAUCUGGUCUACCAGAUGAUCCUACCUCCAUCCACAAAUCUGGAUCGAAAUCCAGGUGGGUCGAAGGAUCGUUCCCGUAUCUCUCCCUUAAUCGUCUGUUAUAUGUCUCCUGGAAAUAAAAAAACUGAAAUCAUCAAAUUUAAUUCAAGUAAAUAAUAAUUUACAAAAGAAAAUGGUUGAACGAACAUACCACAAAGUGUUGAGCGCAGUAGUUAACGAACUGUUGCACCUCUUUUUGGCAGUCUUCACUCUACACGUGCGUCUCCACAAAAAGCUCCAUUGGGCUUGGCUCACGUCUAAGAGCUGUAGUCUGUAAGAAAAAAAUGUUGCAAGUAAAAUAAAUUUAUAAAUAACAACAAAUUAAUUAAAGAUAGAUGUGAUUAAAAUUAUUUUUUUUGUUAUUUUUUUAAUUUUUUAGGCUUUGUUUGGAAAAAAAAACCUAAUUUUUUUGUAAUAAAACUGUCGAAACAAGCAUAAGGGGGUGUUUGCCAAACACACCCUUAAACCAAAAAACCCUUUUAGCAAAAAUAUUGCAAGCUAAACAAGGUCUUAACCCUUUGACCCAUUCUUGACCCAACUGGGUUGACCCAAUCGAGUUGACCUGACUGGGAUGACCUAAAAUCUUUGGUUUCAACCAUAAACCGAACCAAAGAUCCUAGUUUGACCCGAAAACAACUCAAAAAGAAAACAAAAGCCAAAAAACAGAUUAAACACCAAAAAACAUGAAAAAACUUGAAAAUAACGAAUCAAAUGCAAAAAAUAAAAAAAGAACACGAAUAACAUGAAAAACAUUAGAACUCAAAUUCUAGCAACAUGAAUUCUAAUCUAGACCAUAUUUCAGGAAAUAAAAAGCACAUAAAGGAUGGAAAUCAAUCAUUGAACAAUAAUUAAGCAUCAAGCAUCGAUGAUUAUCAACCAAUAAUCACGAUUGAGUCAAAAUAAGUUUUGGUUCAAAACCAAAACCCUAUGAUUAAAACCCCCAUAAAACUUGUUAUUGAUACAAAUGAGCUCUAGACUACUAAUUAAUCAAGUCCAAUGAAGUGUUUAAUGCAAAGGAAUGGACCAAAACUGGUCCAAAACAUAGAGAUAAGCCAAUGUUAUUCCCAAGAACAUAGAACUCUGCCUUAGAAAACCCGGCUAUUGUCAAGCCACCAAAACUGGCAUUUUCAACCACUAAAAAAUGCUUUCUUCAUUUCAAAAAGUCACACUACCAUAACCAAACAUGUUUGAAUAAAAAAUAAAUAAAUAACAUCAAAAGCAUGCAAGAGGUUCAAAACUACAAACUUAAAAUAGCCUAUAUAUUUAUGCAAUUUGGAUUCAAUUUUCUUCCUAAACCUUCAAAAAAACCCAACCAAAACCUAGAAACUAAGAACAUGCAUUAGUCAACAUAAAAAACAUCAUAACCUUGCUGCCACAUCUAGUAGAUUUCAAAAGUACUUUAUUUCAUCAAAACUCAACCAACAAACAUCACUUAAGUAUUCAGAGACAUUAACAAACAACUCAAAGCAGGAUUUAAACAAUAAAACAACCUUUUUAUGUAUUAAUCAAAAUCAAAACUAAAGAACAUCAUAACAGUAAAGCAAGUUUGAAAACAUCAUUAAACAUGUAAAAUAAGUUAGAGGUAUGUCUCAUGGACAUCACCUAUUAGGUUAGUUAGGGAUUAUAUCUUUCAAAAAUUCAGAAUAGUUAUUGCCUUUCUUCCUUUUGAAAAUCCAAUCUUUUUUCAAUCUUUAACUUAUCCUUUUAGCUUUUGGAUGCCAAGUGUCGCAUGUGGGCGCAAGAUGUCGGGGGGUCAUGGGAGUCACCACCUAGUUUUUUGGUUCAAAGUCGCUAGGAAACUCGGGUAUACUGGUUUUAUCAGAUAUUCCAAGGGUAAGAGACUGAUUGUGGUUGGGUAAGGUACUAGUACCCCUAAUGCACCCUACCUGAGGUAAAGUGUAUUGUGUGGUUUAAAGGUUUUUAUGGAUUCCUAAAUGGUGGUAUGUCUAUGACUUAAGAUGGGGAUUUAUUCAUGUGAAUAAAUCUGGUUUUUUUUAAUUUAUUAUGGUUGUAGACAAGAUCCAUAUAGGUGCCCUAACAGGGUUCACCUAUCUUUAAAGGUGGAACGACUUUCCACAACUCAUGUAUUGUGAUGAAAAAUACUCCCAAUUAAAAUUGGUGAAUGUUUAAAAUAAUUUUGAGAAUUUUCUCGUCAACUCAUGAUAUUUAAAUACCAGCAUACUUGUAAGUUCAACAUUUAUACCAAAAAAUUGACAAUUAUUUCUAAUGAAUUAAUUUUUUUUAUGGAUUUUUGAAAUAUUGACAAAGUUCUAAUGAAUUCAAUAAACUGGUUAUUAAACCCAAAAUGCAUGGAAAUAUACUAAACAAAGUGGUAUUUUUUGGCCAUGUAAUAUCAAAGAAGAGUAUCUAUGUGGAUCCAAAGAAGAUAGAAACAAUAUUGAAAUGGGAAAGACCUACAACUGUGACUGAAAUUCAUAGUUUUCUAGGCUUAGCUUGAUAUUAUAGGAGAUUUAUAGAAGGAUUUUCAACGAUAGCCUCUCCAAUGACUCGACUAACUUGGAAGGAAGUUAAGUUUGAAUGGUCAAAAGAGUGUGAAACAAGUUUUCAAGAGUUAAACUCCAGGCUAACUUCAACCCCAGUAUUGGCUUUACCAAAAGGACAGGAGGGAUUUGUUAUGUAUAGCGAUGCUUCCAAUAAGGGUUUGGGUUGUGUAUUUAUGCACCACGGAAGGGUAAUCGCUUAUGCAUCUAGACAGUUGAAACCAUAUGAGAUAAACUAUCCGGUACAUGAUUUGGAGCUGACAGUUGUGGUGUUUGCUUUGAGGAUAUGAAGACAUUAUUUGUACGGGGUACAAGUGCAGAUUUUUACAGAUCACAAAAGUUUAAAAUAUUUGAUGUCACAAAAAGAAUUGAAUAUGUGACAUAGGAGAUGGAUGGAGCUAAUCAAAGAUUAUAAUUGUAUUAUUGACUAUCACCCGGGGAAAGCAAAUGUGGUGGCAGAUGCUCUGAGUCGAAAGAAUAAAGCUUUUAUUAGUGGUUUACUAGUGCUAAGUGAGCUAAAUGUGCUUUUGGAUGUGACUUCAGGAGGAAUAUUACUAGCAACGUUAGUGCUAUAAUCUAAAAUGAGAGAAAAGAUUCGAAAAGCUUAAGGUGAAGAUCCUGAAGUGAUGAAAGAAAUGAACAUUGUAUAAGUAGGCCAAGACUCUUUAUUUCGUAGUUAUGGGAAACAUAAUAUAUUUACCUGAUGAUAAGGUUUUAAAAAGUGAAGUCUUAAAAGAAGCUCAUGAGUCUAAAUUGGCGAUCCAUCCAGGAAGCACGAAAAUGUAUAGAGAUUUGAAGGAGAGUUACUGGUGGCCAAAAAUGAAGAGGGAGAUAGCAUAAUACGUGGUCAAGUGUGCCAUAUAUCAGCAGGUGAAUGUAGAGCAUCAAUGGCCAGUUGGAGAAUUACAAUCUCUUUCGAUUCCAAAAUGGAAAUGGGAGAAUAUCACUAUGAAUUUUGUAUCUAGGUUACCGAGAAGCAGGAAAGGACUUGAUGUCAUAUGGGUGAUCGUGGAUAGACUGACAAAGUCUUCUUUAUUUUUGCCUAUGAAGAUGGGGGAUUCGGUUGAAUAACUAGCUCAAUUAUAUAUUAAAGAGGUGGUGAGAUUGCAUGGUGUACCAGUUUAUAUAGUUUCUGAUAGGGAUCCUUGGUUUACAUCAAGGUUAUGGCCGAGUAUACAACGGGCUUUGGGUACCAUAUUGAAUUUAAGAAUGACUUUUGAUCCACAGACUGAUGGGCAAUCUGAAAAGACAAUUCAGAUUUUGGAAGAUUUGUUGCGGCUUGUAUUCUAAAGUUUGGAGGUCAAUGGGAGGAUCACUUGCCAUUAGUAGAAUUUACUUAUAAUAAUAGUUAUCAAUCUACUAUUGGCAUGGAACCAUAUGAAGCAUUGCAUGGAAGGGGAUGUUGAACUACAGUAUGUUGGGAUGAAGUUGCGGAAAGAAAAUUAUUAGGACCUGAACUGGUGCUGAUCACGGUUGAUAAGGUGAAGGUGAUAAAGUAAAUGAUGAAAGAAGCUCAAGACCGGCAAAAAAGUUGUGCUGAUAAUUGACGGAGACCUCUAGAGUUUCAAAUUGGAGAUGUGGUAUUUUUAAAAGUUGCACCAUGGAAGCAUGUGAUUCGGUUUGGAAUGAAAGGCAAAUUAGCACCCAGGUAUAUCGGGCCAUAUAAAAUUAUAGAAAGAAUUGGGACGGUCCUAUCGAAUAAUACUGCCACCACAUUUAGAUAUGAUACAUAAUGUGUUUCAUGUUUCGAUGCUGCGGAAAACAGACUUGGAUCUUGCAUGAAUUUUGCCACAAAUUUCGAUGGAAGCACGGGAAGAUUUAACUAUGGAGGUACAACCAGUGCAAAUUAUGGACCGAAGUAUAAAAGAGUUACGAAAUAAAAAGGUGUCGUUAGUAAAGGUAUUGUGGAGAAACUCUCGAAUAGAAGAAGAAACCUAGGAGAGAGAGUCAGAAAUGAAGAAGAAAUAUUCUAGAUUAUUUUUUUACAUAGGUAUGAAUUUAGAGGACAAAAUUUUUUUUAGGAGGGGAGAAUGUAAACCCCCCGGAUGAAAAAUAAUAAAUUGACUAGUUUUAUGUAAAAUAAAACAUUUCAUAACUGUUGAUCGGGUUAUUAGACAAUUCUAAAAAUUUACGUGGAGCCUUCUAAUAUGAUGCCUUAGCUUGGGUUAAAAUUUCAGAAUUGUUGGAGAAAUUCAGAAAUUUGACAAAAAAUCACAAUUUGACAAAAAAUCACAAUUUGACUAGUUUUACGUUAUUGGACGUAAUUUUCAAUCCAAUCCUCAGAUUGAGCUGAAAUUUUACGAGGGACUUUAAACUAUAUUGAAUAAAAUUUGGUUAAAGUUUUAGGAUGAACGGAGCUCGGUAUUGCUAAAAAACAAUAAGGACCGUCAAAUAGAAGUAAAAGUACUCAUUAAGGGUAAAAUGAUUAUUUGCCAUUAAAAAAUAAAACAAAUCAGCUCUCCUUUCCUUUUAUAUGCUGCCGACUGUGCAGAAGCAGAGUGGGAAAAGAAAGAAAAGAAAAAAAGCAAGUGAGAAAGAGAGAAAAGUAAGGAAAAAAUAAGAAAAGUGAGAGAAUAACCUUGUAAACUUACAAAGUCCAACUUAUAAAACACUAAUCUAAGGAAGAAUCAAGUGAAGGAAGGAGGAAUUGAGAGAGAGAAUUUGGCUAACCUUGGGAGAGAAGAGAAAUUGGAAGAAAGUCAAUUGGUAAGUAUGAGAAGUUUGGAUUUAAUGUUUGAUUUAGAUGUUUUUAAGCUAAAUUGAUUAAGUUAGGAAGUAAUUUCAUGAAAUUUUACUUUAAUUUCCCUUAAAUCCUUGAUUCUUGAACUUAGGGUUCUUAUGGGAAUUUGGGGGAAUUAGUAAGGGAAGGAAAAAUGAUGAAGUUGAAGUGGAAUAGCAUGAAAACAAGUUGAAAUAACAAGUAAAUGAAGAAAAAUUUGGGGGAGGAAAAAGAAGAUGACAUUUGGCCAAAUGAAGGAAAAGUGGAGGAAUGAGUUUUGAUGUUAAUUUUUAGGAAACUAUGUUUAAUCAUGAUAUUUGAAAUAUGCAAGAAUGACUAAAUAAAGAAAUAACAUUAAAGUUGAGAAAAAUAAGUAAAUUCAAUUUAAAAGAGAAUUGAACUAGUUAAAAAGAAAGUAUGAAGACAAGAUGUUUAGAUUGUGUUUGAAUAUAGUUCUUACAUAUGUUUAGAUAAAAUAAAUAAUAUGAUGUGAAGGCAUAAAGAAUAGAAGGAUUAUUUGAUGGAGGAAUUAUGAACAUAAAGCAAGAAAAGAAGUCACUUUUUUUUAAAUAUGUGGUUGUAUGUGAAAUGAUGGUGUUAUGUUUGAGAAUGAAUUUUUAUCAGAAUGAAUUAAAACAAAAUGUGCUUUGCGUUUCGGCACGUAAGAAAAAUAUUGAUGUACUAAUGAUAUAAUGAUAUUUGAUUGAUUCAGGAGUUGUGUCUGGAGCUGGUUAUCAAACAGGAGGAGCCGGGUCAUCACGAGCACAAGGUAAGUGAUUCGUCACCUUAUUUGUAAGUUUUCCUUAAAUAUCUAUGUUGUUUAUUUAAUUGAUGUUAAAAGAAUGAAGCAAAUGAAUAAAUUAAGUGAUUAUUACAACUGAAUAAUUGGUAAUUUAUGUGAAAUUACCGGAAUUACUAUUUGGCUUACAAAAGAGGUUAGCCGGAUGCUGGGCAAUUCAUAUGAAAUUACCGAAUUGAUUUUGGCAACCAAAAUAGGUUAGCCAGAUUCCUUGGGUAAUUAUGAGAAUUACCGGGUUUAUUGGUUAACAAAGAGGUUAAUCAGAUAUGGGGUAAUUCGUAUUGAAUUACCGGAUUGAUUGGCUAACAAAAGAGGUUAGCAGGAUGAUGGGUAAUUUAGAUGGAAUUAUCGGAUUUAUUGGUAACUGAGGAAGGAUAACCAAAUUUGUGGGUAAUUAUAUGAAAGUGUUAGAAUUAUUGGCAAUCGAGAUGAGUUAGCUGGAUAUUUAAUUUUUGAAAAGAUUAUGUAAAUUAAUUGAAUGAAGUUAGAAGUAUUAAAUUUCAGAGGUUAAGAGUAAAAUAAUUAAUAUAUGACUAAGAUAUUGAGUAAAUUAAUUAAUGUGGUUAUUGUUGAAACAGGUACGCGAGGUGAUGCAAAUCGUUAGAUGUAGGAUUUUUCUGUUUAUGAAUUAUUAUUUUGGAAUGUAAUAUUUAUGUCUUUGUUUUCUUUGAAAACCCUUAUGUUGUCAAAAUCAGAUAGAAGAUGUGUAGUAUGUAAUGAUUGUAUUACCUUCGUGUUGUAAAAAUCAAAUAGAAGAUGUGUAAUAUGUAAUGGAUGUAUUAUAUAUAUGUAUAGAUGUUAGUAUGGUAAAUCAUUUUCAGAAUGAUAAGAUAAGUUUAUAAUAUAAAGUAGUAGAAUACAUUAUAUGUUUUAAGACAAUAUGACUCUUAAUCUUAAUAUUUUAUCCAUUUAGUCUAAAUGCAUAUAUGUAGUUAAUUAACAUUUAUUACUUUUUAGUGAUGAAAUUGUUUAUCUUUCAAUUUGUUUUAGUAAUUCUUUUAUGUUGACUUGUUAAUUCAUAUUAUGAGACUUGAAUAUGUUGAUAACUAUAAGUUUUGAGAGAUUGAUUGAUGAAUGGGAUGUGAUCCAGGAUGAUUGGAUCAAGAUGGAAGUUGUAAUGGCAUAUAAUAGAAGUGUUGUUGAUAACUUGAUACCAACAAAAAUAGAGGAAACUCUGCCAAACUUUUCAAAAAAUAAAAUAAAAAUCCAUAAUCUUAGACAUAUUAUUCAAUACUUGACAUUCGUAAAGAAAUGUUUGAGAUUUUAUGACAUUAUAAUUUGAGGAUGUUAUAGUUUGGUACUAAGACAAACCAUGUAUUUUAUAUUUUAAACAAGAUAUGAUUUUUAUUUUUAUUUUUGGAAGACUUGGUCGUAUGUUAUUUAAGAUAAAAUUGUAUUUUUGAAAAAAGAGAUUUUUUUUUUGUUGUUUUUGUAAAAGGUAAAACGAUUCGUUUAACAUCGAAGAAGCGUCUCGUGUGUGUGUCACGAUUUUAAAUAUUAAAUACGUGAUGAUUGGAAAAUAUGGAGAACUCAAAAUUAAUUGCAAGAUGAUCUUCCAAAGAUUUUGAAAAUGGACGAAGAUAGUGUUUAGUAAAACACAAAUAAAUUAUUUUUAUGAAGGCUAUUUUAACCACGAUAUUAAUUCAAAACAAAAUAUCGUUCAUCAACUUGAAACGAGCAACACCAAAAAUCCACAUGAAUCUUAUUAAUUUCACAAACUUUGUUCAAACUGCGUAUUAAUUCAAAGGAAUUAACACAAACCCAAACAUGCAUCAAUAUUUAAUGUCCAAAAAACAAUCACAAUCUAAUAAUAAACUCAUAACUCACCACAAAUACUCAAAUCACCUCAAAAUCAAUAAUACACAUCAAACCAAAUUAAAAGUGUCCAACAGUCCAUAAAAAAUACACAAUAAUAAGCAUUUUUCCUAAAAUUUCACAACAUUGUAGCAAUUUAUCUGAAACAAUAUUAGUAAUUAAAAAACUUCAAUAUAGAAAAGCGGUGAUGUAUACAAGUGGAUUUGUCUAAGCAUGAAAGCCGUUCAAGAGAGGAGUCACCAAUAUAUAUUCCUUUCUUAACUCUCAAUUAUAUAUAUUUCUUAUCACUUUAUUCAUGAACUCUUGAUAAAUCAUCAGACCACCGCCAGGACCUUAAAUCCAGACCUUUGCCUACCGCAUUAAUUGACAAGAAUAUUUCAAGCAUUUAGAACCUUAAAGAUACCAACACAAAAUUGGGGCAGAUUUUUUUUUUUUUUGAAAGAUGUGUAUAUUAUUUAAACGCCAAAGCCUGGCGGGAGUAGUACAGAAACUACAUAAUAUCUUACUAUGGCAAAAAGCCAUAAAUAGGAUAAAGCGCAGUAUAAGAAAAACAAAAGCAAAGAAAACCUUAGAAUAGCCAUCCGAAUGAGCUCAAAGCUAAACAAUCCUCUACAAAACAAAAAUGAAAAUAACGCAAAGACAUAGUGGGAGAAGACACAAGAGCAAGGCCAUAGAAAAAAAAGUGUAGUCAAAGCCAGGCAACAAAAUCACUUGAUCUUUGCACUCCUUGUUUAGCCAUGCAAUCUGCCAUGCAAUUACUUUCACGGAAGAUAUGGGAGAAGGUGAUUGAACCAAAAUAUGCUUUCAGCCUAUUAACAGAGGAGAACAGAUUAUGAUGCUUCCAGGGACGGUUGUGAGGCUUAUUCAUCCAGCUAAUAGCAUUGACAGAGUCAGAUUCUAUGAUGAGGUGUUGAUGGUGGAAGAGACAAUUAGAUGCUGAAAGUUCAAUGGCUUUGACAAUAGCCCUUAACUCAGCAAUAUUAGAGUCUAAAAUACCAACUGAAACAGAGAACAUACCGAGAAGAUGUCCAUGAUGAUUUCGCAGUACACCACCUAUUCCAGAAGGGCCUGGCUUACCAAGAGACGAGCCAUCCAUGUUCCAUUUAAGGCUAUUAAUCAUAGGAGGAGACCACAUAUUAUGAAUCCUGAAGGAGUGGGCAUUGGACCACCGAAGUAAGCCAUUUGCCGAUCUGAUCAGAUCUGAAGGGGAGUAUGGGAAAUCAGAAUGGAUAGCUUUUAGCCAUAGACAUAGACAGGUGAUAAUAAGAAAGAAUAUUGAAUCAUAGUCAGGUGUCUUCUGUUGGAAGAUCAGAUCAUUUCGAAGUAGCCAAAGAGACCAUGCCACUGAGAAGAACAACAUCAGCCACGCCUUCCUCUGAAAAUGACCAUGCACCAUGGAAGUCCAUUGAGACCACAAAUCUGAGAAGCUCUUUGGGCAACACCAAACUAAACCCCACCACUUAAUGAUUUUGGACCAAAUCAGCCAAUGCUUAUGGCAUUGAAGCAGGAUAUGGUCCACCGAUUCUGCCUCCACUAGGCAGAUAGGGCAAUUUGAUUCUGAGCUACUCAAUAUACCCCUUCGAACCAACAUGCAUCGGGUGUUGAUUCUGUUAAUGAUAGCCAUCCAGCAAAAGAUCUCUACCUUAGGAGGGACAAUACCUUUCCAAAUUCCAGCAAACGAGAAGGCAUUGUUUGUGGAAGGCUUUGGGCUUAACAAUCCAUAGAGAGAUUUAACUGAAAAUCUUCCUGAAUUAUUGUCCUUCCAUAUUAGUCUAUCCUCUCCAUCUUUGUCCAUGAGUACAGUCGAUAGGAUUGCAUAAAGCUGAUCGAGCAAGCCAAUGCUGCGCCCCCGUAGCGGACGUAUCCAGGAAAAAAACCAAAUCCACUCAUACCCUUCCCACAUUCCCAUUUUAGCAAUGCUGGCAGCUUUGUCAUUGGAUAAUUGGAAAAGAGUAGGGAAGUGCUCUGCUAAACAGUGGUUAUUAAGCCAGCAGUCAAGCCAAAAUUUAGUCUUUUUGCCAUUUCCGAUAAGAACCAGAGAUUGCUCUUUCACAAUAUCCUGCAGGUUAUUAUUUCUCACACAAUGAUUGACAAUUCGGGACCAUGUAGUUGCAGCUCCUGGAAUAGGAGCUUGCAGCAGCAGAUUAGAGCAAUUGGUGAUGUGGAUGCUUUUGAUCACAUCCUUCCACAAACUUGAUUCCUCCGACCCAAACCUCCAUAACCAUUUAAAGAGCAGAGCUGUGUUUUUGUCCCUUAAGGGACCAAUCCCAAGGCCACCCGCUUGUUUUGGAAGAGUAACAGUGGCCCAGCUGACAUUGCAUAUUUUGUGUCUUUCCUCAUUUCCAGACCAGAGGAAGGAUCGAAGUUUGUGAUCAAUUAUGGAGGCAACCGAAGCAGGCAUAGGGAACAUAGAUAGGUAGUAGAUGGGGAGAUUGCUGAGCACAUAUUUAAUCAAGCACAAACGACCCCCAAUAGAUAAGAACCUGCAUUUCCACGAAGCCAACCGGAAACUGAUAUUAUGUAAAAUAGGAUUCCACAUUGUAGCUCUGCCCAGGUUUCCAUCAAUGGGGAGUCCAAGAUACAUGAGAGGCAGCUGAUCCUACUUGCAUCUAAGAAGCUGAGCCGUGAAGUUACAUGUAUGAGCUGCUACACCCACACCGACAAUGCUACUUUUAUAAAAAUUGACCUUCAACCCCGAGACAAGUUCAAAGCAUAAUAGGAUACGUUUAAUGUUCUGCAUGCUAUGUAAAGAGUCUGAACUGAAUAUAAGGGUGUCGUCCGCAAAUUGUAAGUGAGAUAUGACAAGCCCUGCAUUGCCGAUGUUUAUACCUGAAGUCAAACCCAAAUCACAGCCACGCUGCAACAUACAACUCAACCCCUGGACUGCAAUGUUGAAGAGAAACGGAGAGAGAGGGUCUCCUUGGCGUAGGCCUUUAGCUAAGCAGAAUUCCUCCGUGGGAGACCCAUUAACAAGCACAGACAUUUUUGCCGCUGAUAUGCAUUGCAUAAUCCACCCUCGCCAUCUAUUGCCAAAGCCCAUACUAGCCAUGAUUUCAUUAAUAUAUUCCCAUAACACCGAAUCAAAGGCUUUGUGAAAAUCUAAUUUGAAGAGAUAAGCUUUACCCUUUUUCUUCUUAAUGAAAGAAAGGACCUCAUUUGCAAUCAAGACGCUGUCUAAAAUUUGCCUCCCUUUGAUGAAAGCAUUUUGAUGAUGAGAGAUGACCUCUGGCAUAACAUGUUUCAACCUGGUUGCUAGAAUCUUUGAAAUGAUCUUGUAUAGGCUGCCAACCAAACUAAUAGGUCUGAAAUCUGAUAGCUUGUUAGCACCUUUAAUCUUCGGAAUAAGAGUAACAAAGGUGCUAUUGAUACCAGCAGGGAGGAGAUUAGUCCGAUAGAAGUCAUCAAUCAUCUGGAUAAUAUCCUCACCUAUAAUGUUCCAUGCUUUCUUGAUGAAAAGGAAGUUAAUACCAUCAGGACUUGGAGCUUUAUUUCUAUCACAAUCCCACACAGCUGUUUUAAUCUCUUCUGCAGAAAAUGGCAAUUCAAGAGCAGCAGAGGAUGAAGGCUUCAGCCUUGAGAAUUCCAGGUUUGAACAUGAAGCUCUAGGUCUGUUCUGGUGGGAGUAUAGAUUGCGAAAAAAGUUAAAGACAACUAGCUUCACAUCGAUUGGUUUAGAUAGGAUCUGUCCAUCAACCUCCAGGCAUGCAAGCUGAUUCUUUUUCUGUCUUGUUGUUGCAGCUAAAUGAAAGAAUCGAGUAUUUUUAUCUCCAAGCUUACACCACUGAAUUCUUGAUUUCUGAUGCCAGGCAGACUCUUGAGCUCUAUACAGGAUUUUGAGUCGGGAGGCAAUGGAAUUACUUCUAAUCAGUUCAUUAGCACUCAAGACCCUGCACUCAUUUUCACGAUCCAUUGAGUCAGCUUCAAGUUCCAGUUCGGCAAUUCUGUUAUUCAUGCUUCCUAUAUUAGCUUUACUCCACUGCCGACAUCUCUCUUUCAACAUCUUUAGAGCUGGGACCAUUUUCCUUGUGCCAGAUUUUGAAACCAUGAUUGAACUCCAAAAGCUCUGAAUCAUAUUCCUAAAAUCAGACACAAGCCACCAGCAAUUCAUGAAGCGAAAGGGUUUCGGGCCCCAAUUUGUAGAGUCUAGCAACAGAUGCAGAGGCCUAUGAUCAGAUGAAUAUUUUGAGAGACCAAAUAAGGUAGAUGAUGGGAAAGUCUGCAACCAAUCCCCCGAUACAAAUAUUCUAUCAAUACGGCUCGCCGCAUUACCUCGAGACCAUGUAAAUUUCCUCCCAUUUAAGGGGAGCUCCAUAAGAUUACAAUCAUCAAUGCAAUUUUUGAAUCGUGUCAUGGAAGAUGUUAUUUGUGAGCUGCCUUUCCUAUCUGAUGGGAAUAAGGUUUCAUUAAAAUCACCCGCAAGACACCACGACUUGCUAACACUAUCCCUGAAUGUAACAAGAUAAGUCCACAACUCAUUCUUCAGGUUCCCACCAUUCGGAGCAUAUACAAAAGAGACUAGGCAAUCUAGAUUGGACCGAGUGAAGCUGCCUUCAAUAUGCAAAAUACGGCCAUUCAUAGCAACAGAACAGCUAGAGACACAAAAAAGAUCCGGAUUCCAUAUACAUAAUAUUCCCCCCGAAAGGCCUAAUGAGGGAACUGCAUACCAAGCCCUAGGAUGACGACCCCAUAUAGCAGUAAUAGUGAAAUCAUUCAAAGUUUCCAAUUUUGUUUCCAAAAUACCCAGGAUAUGAAGAUCAAAUUUUCGACCAAGAUUCCUCAAACAUCUCUUUUUUUCUCUCCCCCCUAAGCCACAUACAUUCCAUACAAUUAUACUACCCAUAGGAGUGAUUACAGAGACCAUACCUGCAGACUAUUUACGGAAGCAAAUCACGGCUUCUUCCUUAGGAUCCACUCUUCCUGUUCUCGGUCUAGGAAUCCCUGCAGUGUCUGAGUCAUGAGUGUGCUAUCGUCAUGCCCUUGGAGAAUAGCUUGUCCAACUUCCCAGCAAGCAGUGGCUUCUGCCCUAUUAUCAGAAUGUGCAGGCUCAGUUGCUUCAUCACCAGCAUUGGUGUCGGGUCUGUAUCUUGAACUACUUGCCUCAUCCUCACCAAUCAAUUCCUUACCAGCUUUGAUAAUAGCAUUUAUGUUCUUUAUCCCAUUAUCAGAAACUGAGUAUUCAACAAUUACGGUCUCUGAUUGCUUACCGCUUUGUUUUCCCAGUUGACGUGAUUUCCUCCUCCUAAGAGAGUGUGAUCUGCGUCUGAGCUUCGUUGCUUUUUUUCUGUGGGUUUUCCUGUCUCCUACUUCCAGAGCACUAAGCUCAUAUGGAUCAGCAAUAGGAGUGAUGAAGGUUGUAAAAGAUGGCCCAAUGCUCGUUGAUUUCUGCUUUUUCUUACGCCCCAUCUGCUUUAGGAGUCCACUGUCAUAAUUUAUAUGUUGAUUCAGCCCAUCCUUAGCAGUAAAACAAGAAACUUUUUGCAUAGCCACCCCUCUGCAUGCAACUGAAUCCACCUCAACAUAUACGUAAGGUACCAAGGCUAACUGGUUAUCGCCUUCGUACGUACUCUCAUCAAAUAAAACCGCAUGUUUGCAGAUUUCAGUAAUUUCUGGGUAAAGGUACCACGGUGAAACUUCAGACGUGGUGAGUGUGCUAGCAAGCUGAGUUUGGGUGCCCAACAAACCAGUGAAUUCGGAUUCAAAUUCGGGUCUUUGUUUUGUCUCUUUGUGAGUCGUUGCAGCUUUAUUAGUUUCCUCAAAAAAAUCAUCUUCAUCGUCAUCGGAUAGCACAGAUGUUGAGCACAAUGAUACAUCCAUGGAGUGUUUGACUGUUGUGAGAGAGGGGAUAAACUCACCUUUGAUUUCUUUCAAACUGACCUCAACCUGCACUCCAUCAAGCUGGAGCAACACUUGAUCAUGUAAAGGUUCCAGCUUUGUGGUUCGAAUAAGAACCCUAAUACCUGAUAUGGACCCCUGACUAACACAAGAAGUGUCGUAUCCUACAAUAUUUCCCCAGUUCUGAAGCAAAAUAUUGAUACAGUUUCUGUUCCACCCUUCCAUUGGCAAACCAAAUAUGGAGAUCCAAGCAAAUCUGUCAGAUGCUCUAGUCCUUGUUUCCCACUGUCUGAGAUUGCUGAAUAGAGAAUGCAGCACAGAUACUUUAUUCCUUUGUUCUUGCACUGAGGCUAACUGAUCCACAUAGGUAAUAAUCACCUGGCUAGCUCCCAAAAAACGAAAGCUCACAGCUUUGACACUUGAUUUUAAAACCGUUGCCUCCAGUGUUGCUACAUCCACAUUUGGCAAGAUAUUUCCCACUAAGCUCCUAUGCAGAUUUUUCAUACCAUGAAAAAUUGGGGCAGAUUUUUCAUACCAUGAAAAAUUGGUCGUAAUAAGAACCUUUUUUUUUUCCUGGUCCUGCUCGACUUGGAAAGGGGUCCUUGAGGAUCCAAUUUGGAGUAUCUUGUGGGUUUAGUCAAAAAGGUCAUUCUCAGUCUUCACACUUCAUGCACAAGGAAAGAAUAUGUUUAAUUCGUCAAUCGACUCAUAGCUAACUCUGUAACAAAUGUUUGGGAUGAAGGGAAAAGUAUAGCUUUUUCUAAUUAGAGAAAGAAAUUGCAUAAACUGUGAAUGCUGUAAUUAUUUUCAAAGAACUUAACCAUAAAUCUACCCUUCUUGCAAGGAACAAAGCCUUCUUCUCUAUAUUUUCAAAGAAUGAUAUAAUUAUUAUGGUGAAUCAUGCAUGCAUAUCCAGAAUUUGAUAUUUCUUAAUUGAAUUUUGGAAAAGUCGUAAUACUUGGUAAAGCCUUUGGAUCGAUAGUUUCUCUGAGAUGUGAAUGGAAUUAACAACAUAGAGAAUAAUAAAAAAGAAAAAGCAACAGAAUCAAUCAUCAGAAGUUGUGAGAAUUAUAUCUUUCUUUGAAGAUUUUGAUUUUGACCACAGUGAACCUAUAAGCUUAACUAGAGAGGCUUCUAUGAUUUCUAUAUAUACGGACUAGCUUGGCUUCAAACCAUAUGUACAAGUCAAGCUCAAACUCAGAACCUCGUUAAACUGUUUCUUCUUAUUAUUUUUUAGUGUCAUUUUGCAAAUGGCUCGCCAAGCAGAGCGCCUUUCCAAGAUUGGGUUGGAAGGACUUGCACUAAUAGAUGAGUGGUACGAGUGCCCUAGGAGGUCUUCAACUCCUCAAGAACACCAUCAGCAACGAUAUGACUAUUGUGGAAUCCAAGUUCCCAUGAUGAAAAUGGAUGUUAUCAACAACAAGGAGGCAGCUAAACAUUAUGGUGGGGUGGUGAUUAUGGAUUAUCGAAAGAAAAAGUUACUCUAUUGAGCUCUUUAGUGAUAAUGUAUUGGGCCUUGCUUUGCUUGGUUAAGUUAAUUACCAAGCAUAAUUAAGUCGUUUUUAACUUUAUUGUUUUCUUCUUCUUUUUCCUAUGUUUUAGAGUCAGCUACUCCAAAAGAUGAAAAAGUAUGAGUGCCUUAAAGUGAUUUGCUGCACCUCUUAUUUCUCUAUGAUUUGUUGGGUUUCUUGAAAUACAUGACAUAGUGAAAAUAGUUUUUUCAAGUCUCAUGGAUCUCAUUAAACAACAUAAAUUUAUUUAGGAUUUGUGCGAAAAUUAUAUGAAGAUAGUUCUUCGUCCUAGAAUUUGAUCAACACUUGAAGGCUGUGUUUUCGUAAAUCAAGUCCUUACUUGAUUUUUCUAAAUCUAGAAUUUUAAUCUCAUGUUCUAAUUAUAUUAUAGUUUUCAAUUUCAAAAACUUAUUUACAAUCAAUUUGUUAUUACCUACUUUUGACUCCACGAAAAAUCAAGAAAAGAAAAAAGAAAAAAUAGAAAGAGAAAAUCCAAAAUACAAGAGGAUAUACAUGAAAAAAACCUAAAAGAUUACUCAAGUUGAUGGUGAAGGACCAAAUUACUAGUGGAAAAGUUGGAGGACUAAAAUGUUCAAAACUACUAUAAUUAACAACCCAAUUCUAAUUGACAAGGUUCCUUUUGGUGAAAAUAUUUCUAUUAGGGUAAAGAAAUACAAAUUUGGAUAGGUAAGGACUUAAUGAGAAUUUUGCAAGGCUUAAUUAAUUUUAUUGAGGACUUGAUUACUGGGAAAAUCAGUUUUUAGAGUUAAUUUAGGUGUUAAUUGAAAUAAAUUAAAGUUCAGAGACUUAAUUGGUUUUUUAGGAGGUUUAAUUGGAUGAAUCAAGGGCUUAAUUGUUAGAAUAUUAAAGUUUGGUAUGCAAUUAGGAACUUGAUUGAAGAAUUCUAAAACCAAGAACAAAACUGAAAAAAAAACGCAUGAAGUGGUAUCAGAAUCUAUUAUCCUUUUAUUAUUAACAAAACGGAAGCCAUAACUUACUGUUUAUACUGUAAUAUUAGGAUCUUCUCUGCCUUCUCCUCUCCAAAGGCCAUUGAGAGGUACAAUGUCCAGAAUGCAUCUAAGGAUAACCAUAUGUCCAUAUCCAUAAGAUCUCAAUGGAUUGCCUCUCACUACAGAAUCGCCUCUCACUACAGAAUCGAGCACAUCUUUAAGCUAGAAUAAAGUGCCUUCACUUAUUAUUUAGCAUUAUUGCGCAGGACAAGUCUUCACUGCUUAUUUCCUUAACAGUUUUGUCACUAUAAAAAAUUCAAUGAAUACAAACGGAUUUGCUGAUUGAAUUUUUCUAUCGGUAUUUUAUGGUGUUAUUUACCAACCAAAUUUUUUCCCUUGCUAAAAGGAUAAUGUCCAGAACGCUUCUAAGGAUAACCAUAUAUGCAUAUCUAUAAGAUCUCAAUGGAUUGCCUCUUACCAUAGAAUUGUAAAUAAUGAAGACUAUUUUACAAGGUUUUUAUCCUACAUUUGAAAAAACACAACUUAUUUCUUGUAAACAUAGAGUCUAUAUAAGGUUUUAUAUUACACAUUGAAAAAAUAAAAUAUUUAUCUAGUAUUUAUAUAGUAAACUUUGAUACGUGAUAGUAACCAAAACAAAAGGGGUAGUGGGCUUGCGUGUAUAAAGUUGAGCCGAGCAGGAGAAAAACCUCUGAUUACUCUCCGACGUGUGAGGCAAUGCCUUUCUGAACCUUUUGUCUCUAGCAAUAAUUUGUUUUUGGCUCUUAAAUUGAAACCACAAUUUUUUUAAAACUUAGAAUUAAUUUUCUAUUAGUCACAAAAUCCUAACAACUCUUUUAUUUUAAAACGUUUUUAACAUUUACAAUUCUUUAACUUCCUAACAGCUCUUUUAUUUUUUUGAAUUGUUGUAAAAACUCUUUAAUUUUCUAAUUUAUUUUCUGCCUAGUUGUUCCAUUUUAACAACCUAUAUAUGUCAUGCACUCUUACAAUCAUAGUGUGCUGAAAAAACCAUAGUAUUUUUCUGUGUUUGCAAAACUUGCUGGCAUUUCCUUUCGAUCUUGGUCUAGCUGUUUCCGUAACCCUUGUUUUAGAAAAAAUCUUGUUGAAAUCUGGAAUAUAACCUUGUGUUGAGAAAAUAUAUUUAAGGACAAUGUUUGUGCAUGCCUCAAGUUUUAUUUUAUUUCUAUUCUUCAUCUUAUUUUAUUACAACAUCCAGCACAUCCUUAAGUAAAUAAAGAAAGCUAGAAUAAAGUGGCCUCAGUGAUUAUUUAGCAUUAUUAAGUAGGCCAAGUACUCUUCACUGCUUAUUUCCUAUUAGUUCUGUAUUGUGGAAUUGCACUUACAAAUAAAGAACUUGUUCUUGAUAUUUUCGUACAGAAUUUCUCUCUCGAAUAGUCGGUCAAUAAAGUCACUUCGUUUAUUCGGAUUUGAGGCCGGCCAUGAGAUGGAGAGGUUGUGUCACAUUAAUUAUGUCAUGUUACUUAGGUUAACUAGAAUAAGAAAUAAAGAUAUAGGUUUUGGAAAGAAUAAAGAUCAGUUAAAGAAGGAAAAAAAAAAAGAAUAGAAAAAAAGAUUAUCAAAAAAAGAAUCAGAUUCACCAUUAAACUAAAGAGUCUCAUCGAUUCUACGAAACUUGUCGGAAGGAAUCAUUUGUUCAAUAAUUGAAUGCGAUUUUUGCUUUAUAUAUAUUUUAGGAACUUUGCACUAGAAAGGGAACAUUUGUGCCACCAAGUACUAACACUAGAAAGGGAACCUUUUUUUCCCAGUGUUAAUAGAUACUUUUUUUUAUAUAUUUUUGACAUUUCUCUUCUUGAUUUUUCUUAUUAAAGCAUGUUUGUUUUUGCAUUUCAAAAAUGCUUUGAAAACAUUUUGAAAAUUUUUAAUCGUUUUCUUUACUUCAAAUUUUAGGGGAGACUUUUGAUAAUAUUUUCAACAUUGUAGCCGACUUUUGGUUGCUCAAUCUUGGUUCUUGAUUGAACUUUCAACUCUUCAAAGAAUUGACCAUUCUUUGUUGUGAAUUUAUACUUCUUUUGCUCGUCUCCAGGUGUAGGCGUUGUGAUCGAGUUGGUUUAUAGUCUUGUUGCCUUGGAGCAAGUCUUUUAUUGUGAUAAGCUCAUUCAAAUCUCAACAAACUUGGGUUAGAUUGAUCUUGGGGUCGCGUAUACCAUUAAAUUCCGCUAGGGUUUGCUUCACUAGACCUUCUCUUGGAUCUAGACUUGUCAUACUAGUCUAUAAAUAUAUAUAUUAGAACAUCCAUAUAAUCUGUCUAGAGCAGAUACUCAUCUAAUUAUGGCAGACCCACAUAUGACAGCUCAGAAUCACCUGUUAUCGCAAACCCAAUUACAUCAUUAAUGGUUUUUCAAGGUAAGUCAUGAGGAAUUUGAAGCAUAUAAAACGAUAUAACUUGUCCCAAUAUCAUAAAAAUGUUAAAAAAAUGUGAGUAUAUGAACCCAUGAAGCGGGAUCAGAAUCUGUUUUCCUAUUGUUAUUAACAAUACGGAAAGCCAUAACUAACUGUUUGUACUAUAAUAUUGGGAGUGAGAGGUACAAUGUCCAGAAUGCUUCUAAGGAUAACCAUAUCCAUAAGAUCUCAAUGGAUUGCCCCUUACUACAGAAUCUAGCACAUCCUUAAGUAAAUAAAGAAAGCUAGAAUAAAGUGCCUUCACUGAUUAUUUAGCAUUAUUGAGCAGGCCAAGUCUUCACUGCUUAUUUCCUAUUAGUUCUGUAUUGUGGAAUUGCACUUACAAAUAAAGAACUUGUUCUUGAUAUUUUCGUACAGAAUUUCUCUCUCGAUUAGUCGGUCAAUAAAGUAACUUCGUUUAUUCGGAUUAAUUUGAGGCCGGCCAUGAGAUGGAGAGGUUUUGUUAUAUGGAAUCAGAUUCACCAUUAAACUAAAGAGUCGGAAUUAAGGAAUCAUUUGUUCACUAAUUGAAUGCGAUUUUUGUCUUAUAUAUAAUUUAGGAACUUUGCACUCGAAAGGGAACAUUUGUGCCACCAAGUACUAACAAUAACUGUCCAUAGUUUUGCAUGCAUAGACCCUUUUUUCCCGGUGUUAAUAGAUAUUUUCGGACCAACUUGAAAGCAAUUAUUAGAGAUAUCAAUUCAAUCUGAAUUCAAUAUGCAUACAUAUAUAUUACUUUUUUUUUAUUUUAUAUUAAAUAAUAAAUAAUGUUUAGGAAAUAAAAAUCUAAAUGGAUCGAUGAAUAUAAUAUUAGUUUCUAAAUGAUACAACAUAGCUAGAAGAAACUGGAGGUUAUGAUUGGUUAGAAGGGACCUGAUAUAGCUAAAUGAGGGUCAAACCACCAACAAAUUACGUAGAUGACUUAACAUUUACUUUUAUGGUUUAAUAAAAUAGGAAUAGGUUCAAGAAAAGAUAUAUUCAUGUCAAACUAAUAAAGUAUCUAAAACAAGUCAUAGCUUUUUAUCCGACCAUUAGAUAAAUCUCAAAUUUUUACUUAGAUUCCCUAAGCCCAUCUCUAUGGAGGAGCUCUUUGGCAAUCCAUCCUCUAAAUGGAUUUCCUCAAAUUAAAAUGAGAAGAUCCGGCUCAAGCCAAUUUUGUUGUUGUUUUUUUUUUUCUUCAAAAUUUUAUGUUUUAUUUCGGAUUUUCCAUUAUUUUUCAAAUUAAAGAAACCGAGAUAAAAUACCCUGAAUCUUCUUUCAUAAUUUGCUUCCGAUAAGGUGUAGUGUUUUUGCUACUUUUACUUUUGGACCUGACUUGUUUCCUGACCGGUAGAAAUAGCAUUGGUCCAAAAGCACUAGUCCAAAAGCAGGGAAGCUUUUGUUUUCUUUAAUCACAUGAUCCGAUAUUCUCAUUUAUGCCCAACACAAAUUCAUAGAUGUGGCUCUAAUGAUUGGCUGACAACAGUUGUUAAUGAGCAGUGUUUGCGUCCCUUAUUUUUCAGUUUACUAAGUAUUUAGAACAUUCAAUUCCAAUCCAAAGUCGAUAAUAAUAAACUCUUGGUGAUCGGUUUUGUCAUCGAUGGUGAUCGGACGACAAAAAAACAUCCCGGUUUUGUCAUCAAUUAUCGGUUUCCAAUCCAAAGUCGGUUUUUUAUAAAGUUUUCUUAUAUAAAAAGUUUAUUAAGCAUUGAAAACAUCCAAAUCUAACAGUAAAAUUAAUAAACUUUUGAUGAUAAUCUUUUUUUCAUUUUGUGAUGCUUUUAUCGUCAGUAGUGAUAAGAUGAAGAAAAGCUAUUGAUUUUUCUCUCUGCAAUGGUUACUUUUAUCGUACACAAAUGUUGGGUGCUUUUAUUUACAAAAAGGAUCACUGCCUAACAAUAUUCAUUUCACAGCUGUUGUCAACCAAACCUUCCCGAUCUAUAUAAAGGUUGGCUUGGCCUCACACAUAUUAGCCAAGCAAGUAAACCAGCUCGACCUAUAUACAGCUACUUGUCUUGUGUAUUGACUGACAAAUUGUAGUUAACAUGGCACGUCAGGCAGACCGUCUUGCUAAGAUUGGGCUAGAGGGCUUUGCAGCCAUAGAUGAGCACUUCGGCCGGGCCAAGAGGCGGCCACCAGUGCUGAAGGUUCCCUAUGCUCAUCCGACAUAUUACUAUGCAAACCAAAUUCCUGCAACAGAAGUUAUCGACAACAACGAGGCAGCUCAACGCUACAAGGGGAGGGUUUAUCUCAAUUAUCCUAAGGGGAAACCAGUUCCGUUUUAAAGACCUAGUGAUUAAUCACUUAGCUUUCUUGUAUGCAUAACCUCCUCUAGUUGUGUUACCUUUAGUCCUGUACGAUAUUCUCCCUCUGCUAAACGUAGACGAGGAGAGGUUGCUAGAACUCGAGUCCGGAGCUUCUUCUUGCUUCAUCAAAUAAAAUUUCUGUGAUUUAUAUAUUAUAAUUUUCUAUUUGGCUGGUCAAGUAUGCAUUGUCAUAAAUAUCACUCUGCUUCCCUGAUUAUUACCUUAUUCACCUAUUACUUAGCAUGAAAUAUUGAAAGAUUAAUGCAGUCGGAAGCACAACAAUAUAGCUGCAAGCAUAGAAAGACAAAAGAUAAACUGAAAUAAUGUUAAAACACUGAGAAUCCUAAAACCUUAUUUCUAAAAUAUUAAUUUGAUUAAGUUUACCUUCUAAAGAGGUUUACAAUCUCUUUCAUAGACUAGAAAAAUAGGCCAAGAUUCGAAACAAAAUCAGAAUCCCAAAACAUAACGGAAAAUAACAUAAAAUUUAAAAAUAAACAAUAAAUCUGCGAAAAUUAAGGAAAAUAACAAAAUUAUCCCAAAUAAUAACUAAUUAGCCUACUUUAUGGAGAUACAAUGCUCUGAUAACUAUUGAGUGGUUUUUAAUGGGAAAACGGUUUGUAGAAUCUUCUAUAAAAAUUUAAACCUGAUUUAACGGUUAGAAUAUCUCCUGUUAUCAUUAUUUUAGGCUAUUAUUCUAGUCUUGCGAGAUCAUGCUUUCUCUUGGCCUAAACAUCUUUCACUAGUACAUGAACAUAUCUGUUAGUAGUCCGUUUAGGGCAAACAAAUAAUUAAUUUGCUGUUCAAAUGCUUUGAAGCUCUUCAAGGUGUGAUUUCACUGAAUAAUUUCGAGUUUAGAAUUAUCACCUCAUUUUAGAAUUGUCCCGAGCACAAGGAUAAAAUGAUGAGCCAUGGGAAGCGUCUCCGAUAAAGAAAUAAUAAACGGAGUUCAAGGUAAAACAAUAGCUUAGAAAAAAAAAGAGUAGAAAUUUACACGAUAUCUAAGAAUAUCAGCGAUCAUGACCAUGAUUGGAUCAUUUCUGAGUUCUACAACCAAAAUUUCCUUCACAUCUCUUUAACUAAGCUGAUAGUCCAUGAAGAUUUAAGGAAAAACAUGAUUCCCAAUCCGAGCCAUAUGAGCAAGUGUAUCUAGUAAAAAUAUCUUAUCUCCCAUGAAAAUGAUAUUAGUAAGCCUCCCUCUGAAGCAUUGCUUUACACAUAUCUUUUACAGAAAAAAGAGAAAAAUGGGAAAUGCUCCGAGUUAUACCUUUUCUUGAUCUUUCCCAAUCCUUCAUUAUAAAUGGGACCCAUCAAAAACAUGAGAUGUGCUUUAACUUCCUCCAUAUUUCAUCUUAGCCUAGAAGGAUAAACAAGAAUAUUAUUGCUUCUGAAACAUAACGAUUGCAAGCAUCGCCUUUCGGUGAACUUUAGAUGACAUGAAACUGCCACAAAUUGGGUCCUAUCCGAGAGAGUUUUCUUUUUCUGCUCUGUUAUCACACAUAUACAACUGAAAUCUUUAAGUCCUCUUUAGGGUAUCCCUGAAAGAAAAUGAUCUAUCAUGCAUGGAAAGUCCUGAGGAAUCUGAGGCAUCACUACAUGAAAUUCAACCAACGGAAUUGCCGACAAACUGUUUCUUUCGGUAUUUUGCGGUGAUAUUUACCGACCGAAUUACUUCCCUUGCUAAAACCGUCGGUAUAUACCGACAGAAACAUUUCGUCGGUAUAUAUCGAGUGAAUCCCAGAUAGAAUAUAAAGAAUUUUAAAAAACAAAGCAGUGCAAUGACGUGGAAGUUUUUGUGGAUGAUGUUACUGACGGAAUUACAGAGUGAUUCAAACUGGGAUGUUCGUACAGUGACGUGUUUACUUCACCGACAGAAUGGCCGAUGGAUUUACAAACAGAAAUAUUAUGUCGGUAAUUCCAUCGGUAAUAGUUAAUAUAUUGAAUGUUUUUUUAGUGUUUACUUGUUUUAUUAUUUUUCUCAAACAAACUUGUAGUAUGGAUUUAUAAUUUUGUACUUGGUAUGGUUUGUUUUAGAUUUUGUAAAAUUAUAUUUGUUUGUAAAUUGUUGAAAUUUAUGUCGAAUUACCGACUUAGGUGUGUUGUGAUGAAAUAAAUAAUGACUUGUUUGAUGGGUCCGUUUUAAUUUUUGUCAAUUUUAUUGCCGAGUUGUAAUUUCUGUAAAUUAAUGUGUAUAAAUUUGUAUGGACGUAGAUAAUUGAUAAUGGAUAUUUAAGAGAAGUUUGAAAGUAAGUUGGAAAUCUUGAGCUAAACCAAUAUUUUUGCAAAUUUAUUUGCUUAACGUAGUUAAUUAAUACAUGUUGUCAUCAUUAUUUUAUAGAGGUUUGAUAGAAGUCAUGGAUGAUCAUUCAUGAAUGUAUCGAGAUUCACCUUAAGAAUUGCGGAUGAUGGAUUAUUAUAAUAGGAUUCAGAGUUUUAUUAAUUUCGCAACAUCUAUUUCGAGAAAUUUUAGUGGAGACGGUAUUAAGUGUCCAUACAGGAGGUGUAAAAAUAAAAAGUUUUUGCAUCCAGAUGUUGUAACGAUGUAUCUUCUACACAAAGGGUUCAUGGAGGAUUACUUGUGUUGGUAUGCACACAAAGAAUUAUUUGUUCGUAACAAGAGCAUGGUAGAAAGGAUGGUUGGGUCAACUUCUAGUGCUAGCAAUGUGCAUGGAGUUGUAAAUGACAAUAGUAAUCCUUACAGGAAUAUGGUUAUGGAUUCAAUGAGAAUGAAUCAAGGUAAUGCUAGUCAAUGUCCAAUUGUAGAAGAAGAACCUAAUGCAGACGCGGCCAUGUUUUUUGAUUUGUUGAAAGAUUCUGAUGAACCAUUAUGGGAUGGCUGCACAAAUCACUGUAAAUAAUCGGUCGUUGCACAUGUGUUCACUAUCAAGUUGGAUUAUGGGUUGAGUGAGGCCGGUUAUGACAAAAUUAUCGAAUGGGCAAGAAGCAUUCUACUUGAAGGGAACAAGCUGAAAGAGAACUUCUAUGCUACUAAGUCCAUGAUGAAACCCCUCGGUUUAGGAUACUAGAAAAUUGACAUGUGUCCAAACUUUUGCAUGAUGUACUACCUUGAAAAUGCUGAGCUAACCGAGUGCAUGGCAUGAGAGCAUUCCCGUUACAAACCCAGAACUGGCAUGAGAAAGACUCUUAUGGCAUAUAAAAAACUUAGAUACUUCCCAAUCACGCCUAGACUGUAGAGGUUAUUCAUGUCACCAAAGACUACUGAGCACAUGAUAUAGCACCAAUCACUUGAUGCAGUGGAUGGAGUGAUGGUGCAUCCUUCUGACGGUGAAGCAUGGAAACACUGUAACAGUGUGCAUUCUCAUUUUUCAGCUGAAUCAAGGAACGUGCAUCUUGGGUUAUGUACAGAUGAAUUCAACCCAUUCAGGUCAUUUGUUGAUCCUUAUUCUUGUUGGCCGAUUAUACUCACGGUUUACAACUUACCACUCUUAUGGCAACAGUUGCUCCUUCUUCACAAUACUUAUGGAACAAAGACUUGUUAAGUGCUUGACUAACGGACUGUUUUUCUCAAAGCUUUUAGUUUGGUUGACCUGAAACUUUGUUUUCGUAGCAAUCCCCAUCAACGGAAACUACGAUCAAAUUGUGUACAAUUUGGUUAUCUUGAAAUCGCAAUCUAGUGAUUUGCUUAAUCCAAAACCAAAAUCAAUGCCAAAGUUCGGUCAACCUGAGAUCCCAAUUUGGCGAUCCGCUUUAACUAGAACUAAAAUAUGAAAAGUAGCUCGGUAACCUGAAAUCCCAAUCCUGCGAUUCACUUUAACCAGAACCUUGGUCUUUGUCGUUAAGUUGGUCAAUCUAAAAUCCCAAUACGACGAUUCUCUUUAAUAAGAACCAAAAUGUCGCCUUUAGCUUAGUUAAUCUAAAAUCUCAAUCUAGAGACCCCCUUUAACCAAAACCUUGGUCUUUAUCCUUAGCUCGGUCAACCUGAGAUCCCAAUCUAGUGAUUUCCUUUAACCAAAACCAAAAUGUCACCUUAAGCUUGGUUAACCUGAAAUCUCAAUCUACAGAUCCCCUUUAAUCAGAACCUUGAUCUUUGUCUUUAGCUCAGUCAACUUGAGAUCCUAAUCUAGCUAUUCCCUUUAAUUAGAACAAAAAUGUCACCUUCAGCAUGGUUAACCUGAAAUCUCAAUCUAGAGACCCCCUUUAACCAGAACCUUGGUCUUUGUCUUCAGUUCGGCAAACCUAAAAUCCCAAUCUGAUGAUUCGUUUUAACCAGAACCAAAAUGUUGCCUUAAGCUUGGUUAACCUAAAAUCUUAAUAUAGAGACCCCCUUUAACUAAAACCCUGGUCUUUGUCUUUAGCUCAUUCAACCUGAGAUCCCAAUCCGACAAUCCUAUUUAACUAGAACCAAAAUGUUUCUUUCAGUUUGGUUAACCUGAAAUCUCAAUCGAGUGACUCCCUUUAAUCAAGCGAUUCCCUUUAACUAAAACCAAAAUGUUGCCUUCAACUCGGUUAACCUAAAAUCUCAAUUUAGAGACCCCUCUUUAACUAGAACCUUAGUCUUUUUUUUUUAGCUCGGUCAACUUGAGAUCCCAAUCUUAUGAUCCCAUUUAACAAGAACCAAAAUAUUGCCUUCAACUCGGUUAACCUAAAAUCUCAAUUUAGGGAACUCUCUUUAACUAGAACCUUAGUCUUUUUCUUUAGCUCGGUCAACUUGAGAUUCCAAUCCUACGAAUCUUGAAACAUCAUCCCCUUCUUAGUCCUACUUUGAUUUGCCAAAAAAAUGGAAAAGAAUGAAUGAUAUGGUGGAGAACUAGACCGGUCUUUACCAUUGGCUAGAACCAACCAUAGGCUGCUUAGAAAGCAACCUUCAACACCUAAAAACAAACCACCACAUAACAACCCUGCAAUUAUCAACAACAACAUCUAGUUCUAGCUACCUAGUCUAUGUCAAAGAAUAGAAUCUGAGGCAACUUUUUGACCAAAAUUCCAUUCUCUAUUAUUCCUUCAAUAUUGGGGUUUAAUGCAAGCAACUUGUUUAUUCGGAUUUGAGAUGUAAAUAGAUUUUAAUUUUGUUAGGAUGAGGUGGUCAGGUUGCGUCACAUUGAUUAUGUCAUGAAGUUAACUAGAGUAAGAAAUAAAGAUAUCAAGUUUCGGAGAGAAUCAAGAUCAGUUAAAGCAAAAAAAAAAAAAAACAGAUUAUGAAAAUAAAUUGGAAACGAAAAGUUUAGUUAUAAGGAAUUAGAUUCACAAACAAAUUUAAGUCUCAUCAAUUCUAGGAAACAAGUUGGAAGGAAUCAAUUUUACAAAAAUUGACCUUCGCACUAGAGAGAACCUUCGAGCCACUUCAAAUGUACUGAAGGCCAUUUGUUUGCCAUAUGUGCUAAUUAAGAACAUAAUUCUAUUCUUUUGUGAGUUAAUAUUCUGUAAAAUAAGCUUGGAAUAGCUUGCGGGGGCUUGGCUCAGAGAUCAUUGAGUUUUUACUACAAAUUGCCUUUUAAUUUUUUUCCACCUGUAAUUGGAUUCGAUAAGUUUCCCUUUUGUUUACAUAUGAAGAACAAACAUUGCUUGAGGUUAUCCAAUGCCGAGAUCAAGGUCAGAUAAUACUAGCGAACCCCUAAUCAGGAUUAAGAAGCAAAAAAAAUGUUAAGUGCAGCUUAUCCAAUGCCGAGACCAAGGUCAGAUAAUAUCCUGAUUGUGCUUAUUGCCAUUAAUUAGAAACUGCAAUAUCGUCACAUAAUUAAACUGAGAUUAUUCUGAUUAGAGAACAGAAGGAAUCUUCUUUCAUAAUUGGCUUUUGCGAAGGUUUAGUGUUUUUGCUGCUACUGCUUUUGGACCUGACUUGAUUCCUGAUCGGUCGAAAAAGCAUUAGUCCAAAAGCAGGGAAGCUUUUGUUUUCUUUAAUCACAUGAUCAGAUAUUAUAAUUUAUGCCCAACACAAAUUCAUAAAAGUGGCUCUAAGAUUGGCUGACAACAGUUGUUAAUGAGCAGUGUUUGCAUCCCUUAUUUUUCAGUUUACUAAGUAUUUAGAACAUUCAAUUCCAAUCCAAAGUCGAUAAUAAUAAACUCUUGGUAAUGGUUUUGUCAUCGAUGGUGAUCGGACGACAAAAAAACCAGUAAAAUUGUUUUAUAUAAAAAGUUUAUUAAGUAUUGAAAACAUCCAAAUCUAACAUGUUUUACUUUUUUGUGUUUAAAUAUGAUAUUAAUAAACUUUUGAUGAUAUAUAUUUUUUUUCAUUUUGUGAUGCUUUUAUCGUCAGUAGUGAUAAGAUGAAGAAAAGCUAUUGAUUUUUCUCUCAGCAAUGGUUAGUUUUAUCGUACACAAAUGUUGGGUGCUUUUAUUUACAAAAAGGAGUACUGUCUACCAUUAUUCAUUCCACAGCUGUUGUCAACCAAACCUUUCCUUUCUCUAUAAAGGUUGGCUUGGCCUCCUACAUAUUAGCCAAAGCAAGAAAACCAACAAAACCUAUAAACAGCUACUUGUCUUUGUGUGUUGAUUAAUUGUAGUUAACAUGGCACGUCAGGCAGAUCGUCUUGUUAAGAUUGGGCAGGAGGGUUUUGCAGCCAUUGAUGAGCACUUCGGCCGGGCCAAGAGGCGGCCACCAGUGAAGGUUCCCUAUGCUCAUCCCACAUAUUACGAUGUUCCUGCAACAGAAGUUAUCAACAGCAACGAGGCAGCUCAACGCUACAAGGGGAGGGUUUAUGUCGAUUACCCUAAGGGUAAACCAGUUCCGUUUUAAAGACCUAUUGAUUAAUCACUUAGCUUUCUUGUAUGCAUAACCUCCUCCAGUUGUGUUACCUUUAGUCCUGUACGAUAUUCUCCCUCUGCUAAACGUAGACGAGGAGAGGUUGCUAGAACUCGAGUCAGGAGCUUCUUCUUACUUCUUCAAAUAAACUUUCUGUGAUUUAUAUAUCAUUUUCUAUUUGUAUGUAUUGUCAUAAUUAUCUUUCUUACUUCCUCAUUAUCACCUCUUACUUAGCAUGGAAUUGAAAGAUACAAUAUGCUCUUGAAAUGCUUUGAAGCUCUUCAAGGUGUGAUUUCACCGACUAAGUUUGGAACUGUACAGAGCUCAAUGAUGAGCCGUGGGAGGCGUCUCUGAUUGUUGCACUGUAAGCAUGAGUGUACGUAUGAAUAUAACCAGCAGAUCCGCAAACCACAAGUGAUGACAAGCUUCUUAACACUGCUGCAUUUAACAGUUUUACCAACAAAAUGUUUUGUCGGUAUUUACUCUACCAUUCCGUCAGCAUGAAUUUUAUCGACUGAUUUACGGACGGAAACAGUCCAUUGGUAAAUUCCUCUUGUCAGUAAUUUCAUUAAUGUCGGUACAAAAAAACCCGAUGGUUUUACAAAUAGAAAAUGCAAGCCAAUUUUU
rnacentral:lncRNA from 1 species